rnacentral:rRNA from 1 species
AACGUACGCUGGCGGCACGCCUAACACAUGCAAGUCGAACGCAGUAGCAAUACUGAGUGGCAGACGGGUGAGUAACAUGUGGGAAUCUGCCUUGUGGUUCAGGACAACAUUGGGAAACCGAUGCUAAUACUGGAUAAGCCCUUACGGGGAAAGUCUUAAUGCCAUAAGAUGAGCCCGCAUUUGAUUAGUUAGUUGGUGAGGUAAUGGCUCACCAAGACAAUGAUCAAUAGCUGAUCUGAGAGGAUGAUCAGCCACACUGGGACUGAGACACGGCCCAGACUCCUACGGGAGGCAGCAGUGGGGAAUCUUGCACAAUGGAGGAAACUCUGAUGCAGCGAUGCCGCGUGAGUGAAGAAGGCCCUUGGGUUGUAAAGCUCUUUUGUAGGGGAAGAUAAUGACUGUACCCUAAGAAUAAGGUCCGGCUAACUUCGUGCCAGCCGCCGCAGUAA